rnacentral:rRNA from 1 species
UACGUAGGGUGCGAGCGUUGUCCGGAAUUACUGGGCGUAAAGAGCUCGUAGGUGGUUUGUCGCGUUGUUCGUGAAAACCGGGGGCUUAACCCUCGGCGUGCGGGCGAUACGGGCAGACUUGAGUACUGCAGGGGAGACUGGAAUUCCUGGUGUAGCGGUGGAAUGCGCAGAUAUCAGGAGGAACACCGGUGGCGAAGGCGGGUCUCUGGGCCGAUACUGACGCUGAGGGGCGAAAGCGUGGGGAGCGAACAGG